UACGUAGGGUGCAAGCGUUGUCCGGAAUUAUUGGGCGUAAAGAGCUCGUAGGCGGUUUGUCGCGUCGGCUGUGAAAACCCGGGGCUCAACCCCGGGCCUGCAGUCGAUACGGGCAGACUAGAGUGCGGUAGGGGAGACUGGAAUUCCUGGUGUAGCGGUGAAAUGCGCAGAUAUCAGGAGGAACACCGAUGGCGAAGGCAGGUCUCUGGGCAUUAACUGACGCUGAGGAGCGAAAGCAUGGGGAGCGAACAGG
rnacentral:rRNA from 1 species